rnacentral:rRNA from 1 species
GAUGAACGCUGGCGGCGUGCCUAAUACAUGCAAGUCGAGCGAACAGACGAGGAGCUUGCUCCUCUGACGUUAGCGGCGGACGGGUGAGUAACACGUGGAUAACCUACCUAUAAGACUGGGAUAACUUCGGGAAACCGGAGCUAAUACCGGAUAAUAUAUUGAACCGCAUGGUUCAAUAUUGAAAGACGGUUUUGCUGUCACUUAUAGAUGGAUCCGCGCCGCAUUAGCUAGUUGGUAAGGUAACGGCUUACCAAGGCAACGAUGCGUAGCCGACCUGAGAGGGUGAUCGGCCACACUGGAACUGAGACACGGUCCAGACUCCUAAGGGAGGCAGCAGUAGGGAAUCUUCCGCAAUGGGCGAAAGCCUGACGGAGCAACGCCGCGUGAGUGAUGAAGGUCUUCGGAUCGUAAAACUCUGUUAUUAGGGAAGAACAAAUGUGUAAGUAACUAUGCACGUCUUGACGGUACCUAAUCAGAAAGCCACGGCUAACUACGUG